UGGGGAAUAUUGGACAAUGGGCGCAAGCCUGAUCCAGCCAUGCCGCGUGAGUGAUGACGGCCUUAGGGUUGUAAAGCUCUUUCGCUCGGGACGAUAAUGACGGUACCGAGAUAAGAAGCCCCGGCUAACUUCGUGCCAGCAGCCGCGGUAAUACGAAGGGGGCUAGCGUUGUUCGGAAUUACUGGGCGUAAAGCGCGUGUAGGCGGGUCUUUAAGUCAGGGGUGAAAUGCCAAGGCUCAACCUUGGAACUGCCUUUGAUACUGGAGAUCUUGAGUCCGAGAGAGGUGAGUGGAAUUGCGAGUGUAGAGGUGAAAUUCGUAGAUAUUCGCAAGAACACCAGUGGCGAAGGCGGCUCACUGGCUCGGAACUGACGCUGAGACGCGAAAGCGUGGGGAGCAAACA
rnacentral:rRNA from 1 species